GCUGGGGUGGGGGGGGUGAGCAAAAAGAGAGGCUUGAAGGCUUCUCAGAUGGGACCAUACUGCUGACUGCAACCCCUCCCGACCCUGGGCCUUCCGGGGCCGCGGAGCAGUGAUGUACAGCUAGAUCCCUAGGAGUUUGCACCAGAAGGUGGCUUCCUCCUAAGGAGUAGCUCUGCCAGAAACUCAGGACCAGAGACAGCACUGGAAUCUCCUGCUCGCGAAGAGGAACCAACCUUACCUGUGCUGAAGGACUCGAAGAGUCGAACGUUGCCCUGAGCGAGGGUUUGGUAGUAGGACCAACUGAGGAAUGAAAGAUCAAAAAAGCUUGGAAGCUGCAGCUCUAGGCGAUGGGAAACCCUUGAAGAUUUCUGAUGAAUGUAUUAAAGAAGAUUAACCUGUACCAAAGUCAGUAAACUAAAACUGAUAAAGAACAAUGAACUUGUAGUGAGGGACCAUCUUGAAAGCCAGACUCUGCCAUUUACCAGCCAUGGGCAAGUGCCUUUACCUCUUGGAGCUCCUAGGCUCUCUCAUCUAUCAAGCCUGGUGCGCCCUGACCUACCAUCCACGAUAGGGGAUAGGGUGAGGUGCGCCCAAUAUGCAGUGGAUGUCAAUAAAUCUGUAAACAAGGGAGGUAGGCAGCCACUGCGUGUGAGAAGGGAGGUAGUGUCAGGAGAGUAAAGGAGAAGAAAAGGAGUCAGCAGUGAUUUAGAGACCUCUCUUCCCACAUCCCCGGCAGGAAUGUCAUCCUUGCCCAGAUCUCCAGGCCAAAGCUGGGGUGGCCUUAGCAGAUCUCCCAGCCCUGCCGCUGAUGAAACCAGCCCCACUAUCACUGCCUUCGAGCAGGGGUGUAGGGAAAGCAGGGAAUUCACUGGCUAUUCUUUCUGUGCCUGUGACCAGGGGAAAACGCCCAAAGAUCUUUGUAGUUCCUUCCAUGUGAACUUGGUAAUUUCCACAUAGUGGCUGCCUUCCUGCUUCUCAGGCUGGGAGAUGACUCAGGGCAGCCGAGAGCCAUCCCAUUCAGUACCAGUUAUGCCAGGCAAUCAUCCAAACUCCACUUGGUGCCUGCUCCCUUCCUAGACCCGGUCCCCAUACCUCCCUGACUUUUUUCCCUGGGUCUAUAGCAAAUAGAUUCAUUGGGUGCAUGCUGUCUCAUUCCAUUUCUCUGCCUCAUGUCUCUACACACGCACACACACAGCACCACCACUACCAGGAAAAGGAACUGGAGGAACCAGCUGGUGGCUUGUAUUUACACCUUAUCUUGCAGCAGCCUGCAGAGCCCCACCUCAGAGGAAGCUAAGUCAGGGUCAUGGUGAGAGCUUGAGGCUUUGUCCCAAUUGCAAUAACCUUGAGAACUAACAUUCACAGAGCAUUUGUCAUGUGCCAGGCAUGGUUUUAACACCUUACAUGAAUUAAAUACUUUGAGAAAAAAAGAAAAGAAUUAAAUAAUUCGAUCCUCACCAUACCCCUAAAUUAGGCAGGUCCUAUUAUUAUUGUCA